CGAACGCUGGCGGCGUGCUUAACACAUGCAAGUCGAACGGUGAAGCGCCUUCCUUUUUGGUGGGUGUGGAUGAGUGGCGAACGGGUGAGUAACACGUGAGUAACCUGCCCCCUUCUUCUGGAUAACCGCAUGAAAGUGUGGCUAAUACGGGAUAUUCUGGGUCUGUCGUAUGAUGGGUCUGGGAAAGAUAUUGUUUCGGUGGGGGAUGGGCUCGCGGCCUAUCAGCUUGUUGGUGGGGUGAUGGCCUACCAAGGCGGUGACGGGUAGCCGGCCUGAGAGGGUGGACGGUCACACUGGGACUGAGACACGGCCCAGACUCCUACGGGAGGCAGCAGUGGGGAAUAUUGCACAAUGGGCGCAAGCCUGAUGCAGCGACGCCGCGUGAGGGAUGGAGGCCUUCGGGUUGUGAACCUCUUUCGCCAGUGAAGCAGGCCUGCCUCGUUUGUGGGUGGGUUGACGGUAGCUGGAUAAGAAGCGCCGGCUAACUACGUG
rnacentral:rRNA from 1 species